CGGGGCAGACGCAGAGGGAGUGAGGGCAGGGGAAGGAGGCGGAGGAGGAGCGGCAGGAGGAGGGCUCCGGGAGAAACCGACGAAGGCAGGAAGAGGAGGAGGAGGAGGUGGAGGCAGAGGCGGGCCAGGCCGGCCCCCUGGGUUCCCGGGUCGUGGGCGUUCCUGAGGCCGCAGAGCCCUAGGUCCCUCACCCAGCUCUGCUUCACUUGGAGCAGUACCAAGGUCUCAGGGCCUACUGUGCAGUUCCUGGUUUACAGUCCCGAGCAAAGACAGAGCCCAAGCCCUGCGGUCUUGGGUAUCAAACAAUCCCGGGAUGGCCAAACAAGCGAAUAUUCGCCAUGGCAGUGGCAGCUGGAAGGGUGGCUCACGGAGCUGACGCCCUCCGCAGAGGGCUUCCAGGUAAUAGCGUGAACAACCACAGAAUGAAAAAGAGUGCUGUUGUUAAAGGUAUCCAGCAUCAUGGACCCAACCAUCAUCUGGAGUUUCUCACUUCAUCUCUGACUCAUCUUUGUGGGGACAGUUUCAGGACCAAACUUUUACGGACCUUGAGUGUUUUGAGCAGUACUAAACAGGUAUUUUAUUAGGAUGUCCCUCUAGUGAACUUUGAC
rnacentral:lncRNA from 13 species